UCCCCUCGGGCGCAAAUCACGCCACAGAUUAGCACGCCCACCCCACGCCUCCCUUUCGAUCGCCACCAGCGCCGCUCCCCUCCCCUUCCGGCCGCCACCACGCUCUCCUCCGCACCGAACCGCCGCCCCACGUUCCUCCGCGCCAGACCGCCGUCGUCUUAGUUCUCCAGGAUCCAACACCAAGCUCGCGACGAAGGGCUUGGAGCUGGCGGCGAGAAGGUGCUCGAGGUCGCCUCCUUCUCCACAGCCGCGCCCCGGGAUGGGAGCCUCCGCAUGCUCCUGCUCUGGCGAUGACGCAUCCAUUCUUCCACUUGACCACUCCAUCCCCUGCUACUUGUGUGCCGCCUCGGAUCUCCAUCUCGAUCUGUGAUGUGCUCGCUGGUGCCGUUGAAGCCGGAUCCCGUGCUUCUCAAAUCGGCGGGUCUUCUCUCCCUCCCUUCUUUCUCCAAUCUCCAUCCCCUACCCGUUGGUAAUUCUAGACGAUGAUGCAUACUUCAUGUAAAUCCAAUGUUGUUUGUUCGGAUAGUAAUGCACAAAGUUCGGCGUAUGCUGUUCUCGGUUCAGUGCUAACAGAUCCUGUAAUGUCUCAAUUUCAUUUAUCCUAUCAUCAUUUGGGUCUAGCAAAUUUAUGUUCAUGCCUACAUCUAUAGUAGCCCCUUCAGAGUUGUAACUUAUAAUGUAAACUGUUAGUGCUUAUAUGCUUAGUACUUAUGGCUGUCAUGCUGAUACUCAUGCAGUAUGUAGGACACGAUUGGAGACUCUAGAAUUUGCAUUCAUUCAACGGUUAUUAUUUUUAGAACAGUGCAUGUUGUGAUUGAUGAUGGUGGAAAUUGGAGGGAUUCUAUUUACUUAUUUUUGUGAGGAGGAAUUAUCUCCAAGGUUGCCAAACCUGCUGAGGUAUUAAAUAUUGUAGAUUAUAAAAAGAACAAUGGAUUUAAAAAAGUGUUCUUGUUUAGGAUGAGCAGGCAACAAGCCCAAGUACUAUAUAUUAUCCUAUACAUUUCCUUUAUUAACACAAAUGGCAAUUCUGUAAUCUGUUAGGCAUUACAUCUCUGUUUUGUGCAGGAAACUUCAGAAAUUAGGCUUUUCUUUAUAAAUGUCUUCACAACACUGGGUUGGCUUCUGUUCCGGUGGUUACAGAAUACUCAUGGGAUUUCAUUUGAAUGUUUAUUCUUGAGAUUAUGCUGAACUAAAUAUGAGCAGUUCAGUGUGGUGUUUGGUUUGAAUGGUGAAUUUUGUGCGGUGUUUCUGCAGGAGUUUUUGAAUCUAAAGCAAGGGUGAGCGCCAAGGAAGGAGGCGCCGCCACGGGCGACGGUGGCGGGGUUGGCCGCUGGCGGCUGUAAUAGUUAAUCAUUGUUGUCAACAUUGGCACACAGGAUUUAGUGGAAGGAAGGUUUUGGGCCAUCAGAUUUCCCUGAGAAUCAAGGGAAAGGAAGAGGAAAGGAAAAUGUUGAUACAUGCUCUGUUGCAAGUGUUCACGUCGCGCAGAAACUACAAUGAAGUUGUCGGGGAGAAGAUCCAGUGAACUCGGCUACAUCGGGUUGGGUCAAAGUGACUGGUCCUUCGGUCUAUUGUGCGUCGAAAGUCACGUUCAUCUCUGGCAAAUUCCACCGUAGCCUCGGUCGUACAUGUGUUUCGAUCUAUUUUCAUAUUCUUUUCUUGGGUGUUUGACAAAUGCUUCACAAACUAAGCUCAUGUUAAACAUGCACAACUAUUAAUUCGCAACAGCAGUGCCACGGUUCAGUUCAGCAUGGGGACCAACUACCUCUACAAUGUCCACUCCUACUGGUCUCUGACCUGUCAAACAAGAAGACAUGGUGCAGCUAGCUACUGAAAAGGAGAUGACCGUGGUCCUCUUGACAAGAGGAGAUGACGAAGACGCAGCAGACCAAACCUUUGCGUUCUCCAGUCUCAUGCACAAGGAGUUUCGCAAGAUGGCCAAUGUUGUUAGGAGCCAGGUCACUGGCAACUACUACAUGGCUGACUUGACCAAACCCGCUCUUGCAAGACUUCAAUUUACUGCAACCUGGUUUUUUUUUUUGAAAAGGAGGUUACUACAACCUGGUAAAUGAUGAGUAUAAUGAAUGAUGCGCUCAUUACACUGGUUGUGCGAGUAGGUUCAACAUUUGUACCGCAUGACUGUGUUUCCAGAAUUGAUUGGGACAUUCCCCCUUUUCUUUAGAGAUGAAUGGAACAUUUGCACUCCCUCUAUGCCAUGCCUGCAAGCAUGAUUACUCAUUAUACCCAUGUUCAUUUUUGGUUAGGUUUUUGAAACAUGUAUAUCAUUUAUGUGUGUGAACCAGUGAUGUCCUUUUAAAAAUACAUAUUGUUGUGCAUCGA